rnacentral:lncRNA from 1 species
AGGGACUGAAGAGCAGAAAUAAGUAGGCAUUUAGCAAGAGUUUUCUGCCUUGAAAUUUUUUAUUGUACGUUUUCCCUUCUCUGAGGACUGAAGAGCACUGUGUUGGGAUAGGCUUCUGCUGAUGUGGCACCAGAAUUUCCAAAUUUGUCAGCUAGAAGGUAUUGCUGCUACCUCCGCCUCCUUUUGUGUGCUGCAGCACUACAGACGUGGCAGCUCCCAGCGCGGCUUCCCAACGAUACAGUACGCAUGCUGUAUGUCCCUGGUGACGGUCAGGACAAGGGGGGAGUCAAUAAUUCCAAGUUAAGAGCCACGAAACACACACACACACACACACACACACACAGACAAAAAUCAGGGAGGAGGAAUGAAGAGUCUGCCAAAAAGAAAAUCAAAAAAAAAAAAAAAAAGAGAGAAAGUAAAAGAUUUUUCUUCUUCUUUAUUUUUUUUUCUUUCCAUAGGAAAAGUUUGGUAGCGGCACAGCCCGAUGCUCAGAGCCUGAGAACUGCCAGAUGCCAGAGUUUUGUUGUCUUUGUUACAGUUUCUCAGUAACACUAAAGAAAUGGCUGUUACGGUUUGACUAAAGCUUGCAAAUCAAGAAAUCUGUAGGGGAAAUCUUUCAGCCUCUUGCCUGCUCCCUCUGAAGGGGGAGAAGCUGGAGGCGGGAUGACUCACCCGUCCCUGGGACUUUUAAUUUUAAGAGUCUGGAGCUGCUGUGAGCGGGGCCAGGCUGUGGAACACCCGGAGCCUUGCAGGGUUUUAUGACCCCCUUCCACGUCAUCCUGCAGCUCUCAAAUCCCUGGAAGAAAUAUGCAGGCAGAGCAGGGGGGAAGGGAAUCCUCCACUUUUUGACCUGCAGGUUUUCUUGCACUCUGUUCAAGCGCUUGCAUCUUUAACCCAUAAGCAUACAUUUUGCCAACAUUCCUCCCAAGUGCAUGUCUACUUCCCAUUGGUUUCCCAAUGCAUUUCUAUAUCCUGCGGGCUUGUUUGGAAAACUAAGGGAGUUAGCAUUUUCCUUUUCGCCUUGGAAAAAGACAUUUUGCCUCUCUUUCUUUGUGCCUGUGCUUUAUGUGCUUGAGGGAUAAGUUCUGCCACCUCUGAGACUUCCCAUUCCUCGAUAUAAAAGUACCUAGGAGGUAAGAUCCAAAACUGGAGUGGCUUAAUAGUGUUUCUAAAUAGCACAAAGAAGCAUGAUAAAGCCAGAGGACACUUCUCUGUGCUGUACCUUCAAUACCCUAAUUUUGUUACCAAGCUAAGUGAAUAACUAGGAAUUUACAGCUAAGCAGAAAGGUGCUUGUUUUUCUUUCAGAAAAAAACGCAUGGAGAGGGAGCAAUAGUCUCCUCAGCUGUUAGAAAGAGCAGUUUUAAUGAACAGCAAAUGUCUAAACUUCCCUGCUGCUCCCCACCCUCCUGAAAAAGUUUCCCUGCUCCUUGCCACAACAUAAACACUGUAUGUGGCAUUAUUUUUUUUAGCCUAAUCCGAGUUGUUUCACAUAGCUGUGCAACAAAAGAGUGCAAAAAUCAUCUGGAAAACACAUGCAGGAUAGAGGCAGGGCUUCGAACCAUCUGUGCACGGUCAGAUUGAAAGAAUCUCAUGGAGCAGCUCUGCAAGGGGAAGCUGGCUUGUUUCACUUCGUGACGUGUCAGGAGGAUGCAAAUGAUAGACCAUACUGGGGCUGAGCACAAGGCCUGGGCAAAGCAUAAAAUAGCCUUUGCUAAACUGCCCCCUGGAUCUCGGAGCCCUAGAGAGUGAAGAAGUGGAUGCAGCUUUGGCCAUCAGUGAGGACAGCAGCUUGUGCCUUACUCCAUGGCUACCACAGCCCAUGUGAGCAUACAGAGCUCUCAGUUUUGUUCAGAAGCUGCAAUGGGGCCAACAGAUCAACUGUCAAACUAUUGCUUCCUCCUGCAAGCACCAUUAAAAAUGGAUCAUCUGGAGCUAAGAUGAUUUUCUUUGAGGCCAGGUGCAGAUGUAAUGAAAGAAUAAAUGCAGCCUACAAUAGCACUGGGAAAAGAGCUUUUGAGAAUCUUUUUUCUGUUGUGUUCUCCUCACAAAGGACACAAAACAAGUGAAAGAAGCCGAACUGGAAGAGGUGUGAAAGGUGAAACAAUAUGAGAGUCCUGAAAAGAUGGGAGGAAACUUUGACCACAUAGGACUGACUCCAGAUGCUCUUCCACACGCAUAAUAAUGGACUGCUCUCUUCCAUGAGUAACACAAUUGCAAUCAGUAAAGAUACUCAAAUGAGUAAAACAUGAAACAUUAAGCUCACAGGCGGAGAUGAGGUUGAUCUGUCAGUAGGGGCAGCAACGUGGGUGCUAGGUCUCUAUUUCAGGUAAAUGAAUGGUAGUCAGAUCUGCAGCAAAUUAUGGAUGCAAGAAAAAAUCUUUGUGUGACUAAAAAUGUGGAUCUGGAAUGGUGGAACCAAGAGGCUUCAUGAAAUGUGCAAGGCAAGAUGAACAUCAGCAUGCUGUGAUACUCUAUUCUGUAGAAAACACUGAGGAAUUGGGAACAGGAGAAAUUCAUUCCACACAAAAUCCUGGAGCAUUAUAAUACAGUGAUCACGAUAUAGGCAAGGAAAAGUCAGACUUGUUGUCAGCUCAUUCAUGCAUUCUGUGGAGUGCAUGAUUUAUGUUUACUGUCACUGCUGUGUACUUUUGUUUACCCAUGAGACACACAAAACAAACUUGGGACUGCAGCUGGAAAACAUUGCCGGAGGUACCUCUCCCAUGACAAAGAUCAUCGUGUGCAAACGGACAUUAAUUGUCAUUAUUCUGAUCAGAAUAAGUUAUCCAAAGAAUGAUUAGGAAUAUCUGGUUUCAAUUCUUUGAUAAAAUCUCCAAGAGCAGCAGUGAGCAUCAGCCCUGGAAUACAGUGGACAAAACUGCUAGGUUUUCCAGAUAUUGAAACAGGAGAACUUUCAGCCUGAGGUGGAUGUAAGGUCCUGGAAAAAACCAUAAGCCUUUCCCAGUUAGUUGCUGAUGUACCGGGAAUGCUCUUGAGGAUUGCUUUAUUCCGCAUUCCUUUUCCACUUCUUCCUCUCAUCUGACAUCUCUUUUGUUGCCCGUACAGGUGGAAUUCUCUGUGAAAUUCAUGUAUUUCUGUCAGCAUACCCAAAGGAGGCAGAGCAAACAAUAAAUAUAAAUGAUAGGCCCAGAAAGAUCAUUAACGUAAUACCCAUUUAUUCCCUAAUUCUUAGCGCUUUGACCUUUCCCUAAGGAAAUGGAAUACAUUCUGAGUAAGUAAAAAAAAACAUCUUGCAAACAGCUUCAUGUGAAGUCCCUUCCUGAUAUCAUCCCAACCUUUAUAAUCAGAUAUUGGUAAUCUUAUAAGCAAGUGAUUACAUGGAUUCCUUACAUUUGAAAGGAGUCACCCGGUUUUUCAGAGAUGUGUAAACUGCAAGCCAGUGUUGGCAGCCAUUCAUCUUUCAUUCUGUCACAGGGAACAAGAAAUAAAGAAGGGACUUUCUUGAGCAAAACGUCCAGCUUAAUGAAUAUAAUUUCCUUUUAUGACAAAGUUACCCAAAGGGAAGCCACUUGAUGUAAUCUUUUUCAAUUUCAGCAAAGCUCUCACAGUAUCCUUCCGCACAAAAUGUCCAGCACAUCUUGGCAAAAGCGUAAUGCGAUGGGUGAACAACUGGCUGACAAGGGUUAUAGAAAAUGGUACUACAUUUCUGUGUUUCAGUGGAGACAACAGGAACCUUCAAGGAGUCUUUGCUGAGACUAACUUUACUUAUCAGAGUAGGCAUUGAUGGGAAAGCUAUAUAAAUUAUUUUUUAAAAUAAUAUAUCUGAUAAGCUAUAACCUGGGUUUAACCAUGGGUUCUUUAAUGAAAUUUUGAGAGCUUUUUUUGUCCAAAAAAUCAGCCACUUAAUGCAAAGGAGGUGUACAAACAUAAAAAACAACAGAAACAUUAUGGGAGCUCCCCACAGUUGACCUUGAUGGAGUCAUCAGAGGAGCAUACAUCUGCAACCAGUGCUGGACCAAAGGAACAACUGAAAGUCAGACAGAACUGACAGAGAUGCCUCAGCAGGAAUGUGAGAACAGAUGUGCACACCAGUCCUUUUCCUGCUACAAAGAGCUAGCAGCUUAGGGCUUGCAGACCUCUGGAUUUCAAUCACAUGUCAAGUUCAACAGUCACCAGUGGAACUAUAUUCCUGACAAAUCUCUCUCUUUCCCCCUCAGGGCCCUGUACAUGUGCAUUCAUUCAGAUUUUUUUUUUUCUGUGAACUCCCAGUGCAGCAUAAUCCUUUCACACCCCUAGGGGCAUCUGUUUGUUUGAAACAAAACACCACCAGAGCCUGGUUUUUACUGUGGACUUCAGCACCUACUCUGAGGAAUAGUGUUCAACAGCUUGUAAGAGAAGGCCUCAUUUCUAAUAAGUUGUUUUCCCUACGGCUAUGUUCUCUCUUGAACUUUGAAGGAAGCCUUUCAUUUAGUUUCAAGUUAUACCUUCCUGCCUUGAUAAUAAAUACGCUUUGCUCUUUUGGAGAGGACCUGAUGUUGUUCUCACUAUACAAUACAUAUAAAAGAUGCCUUGGGAUAGUCUUGCUGGCCAAAACAAAAGGGAUGCCUCGUUCAGUGCACUGCAAAUGAGCAUGGCUAUGUGCUGAUUUUGGCUCGCUCAUUUCCUAUUCCACCCUAGCAUUUGUAAAUUAAACUCCUAUUUUCGGAUUUCCAUAGAUUGUUCCAAAGUUUAUGUGAUUCCUUUAAUUAUGGCAUGGAGUAGGGGCAACUGCAUUCCAAGAAACCAAUAAUUACCUGGAACAUGUUAUUACAGUGAGACGUGUGUAGAUCUGUAGCAUCUGUGAAACUCCAUGCAACAUAACUGAAGAAACGGCUGAAAAUGGAUCUGACACAGUUGCAAUAAAGAAGUCUCAAAAAACUACUGUCUUCUUUCAGUACCAUAAUUUGUGUCACAGAAUUACAGCUCAAGUGGAACUGCCAUUUGAACUGCCACUGGAACUGCCAUUUGAACAAAUCUCACUUUUUAGUGGUGAAAAAUAACCUGAAUCCAAUCAGAAUUGUUUUUUUCUAUUAAUGCAUGUAUCCUUGGCAGUGCUAUUGCUGACAAAAAGUCUGUUCUUUUUUCAGCAGAGAUAAUGCAAAAAACAAAUGAAAAACAAAAAACAGAAACAAAACAAAACAACCUGACAGCUCAGUGCAAGGCUUAGUUUCCAUUUCAGGGUCAUGUGGAGGGGGUGUUCUUCAGAUGUUCCUGAAAUAAAUGUCUAUUACACUAUAAUUUAUGUUAUGUUAUGUUUAUUAGGUCCUCCGUAAAGUUUUCUUCAUAAAAGGCUGCAUAGCAAGCCUCCAAUUCUUAAGGAAUUAGAAUGGAAAUGUCACUCUCAUUUAAAAUUUAGAAGAGUAAAAACACUGAAAAAACAGAGAGAAAGAAACAUCAAAUUUAUCCUGAGUUUACCCCAUUGUAGCUAAUUAGCACAAGAGUUUUUAGGGACAUUCCCAUUUCAUGCAAGACCGCCCAUGAUCCCUUAGCAGUCAGGCAUUUAUUGUAUAGCUGUGAAACCUGUGUAAAUCUUUAUAUUUUAAUCUACAGCAAAGCUUUAAGUUUUAAUCUGCAGCUUUCCCACUGUUAAUUUUACUCAGGGUCAUUCUUAAUGGUCAUAGUUCCUAAGAUUAAGAAAAUAGCUGACAUCUUCACACCAACAAAGCAAUGUGGUUGUUAAUUCUCCA